rnacentral:rRNA from 1 species
CUGGCGGCAGGCUUAACACAUGCAAGUCGAACGAGAAAUAAGAGCUUGCUCUUAUGGACAGUGGCAGACGGGUGAGUAACGCGUGGCAACCUACCUAUCAGUACGGAACAACAGUUAGAAAUGACUGCUAAUACCGUAUACGUCCUCCGGGAGAAAGAUUUAUCGCUGAUAGACGGGGCCGCGUUAGAUUAGCUAGUUGGUGAGGUAAGAGCUCACCAAGGCGACGAUCUAUAGCUGGUCUGAGAGGAUGAUCAGCCACACUGGGACUGAGACACGGCCCAGACUCCUACGGGAGGCAGCAGUGGGGAAUAUUGGACAAUGGAGGCAACUCUGAUCCAGCCAUGCCGCGUGAAUGAUGAAGGCCUUAGGGUUGUAAAAUUCUUUCGCUAGGGAUGAUAAUGACAGUACCUAGUAAAGAAGCCCCGGCUAACUCCGUGCCAGCAGCCGCGGUAAUACGGAGGGGGCUAGCGUUGUUCGGAAUUACUGGGCGUAAAGCGUGCGUAGGCGGAAUGGAAAGUUAGAUGUGAAAUCCCAGGGCUCAACCCUGGAACUGCAUUUAAAACUCCCAUUCUAGAGUUCUGGAGAGGUAAGUGGAAUUCCUAGUGUAGAGGUGAAAUUCGUAGAUAUUAGGAGGAACACCAGAGGCGAAGGCGGCUUACUGGACAGAUACUGACGCUGAGGCACGAAAGUGUGGGGAGCAAACAGGAUUAGAUACCCUGGUAGUCCACACCGUAAACGAUGAGAGCUAGUUGUCUGCAUGCAUGCAUGUAGGUGACGCAGCUAACGCAUUAAGCUCUCCG